rnacentral:lncRNA from 1 species
AGAUAUUAAACACAUGUUUAUAGUGUGGUCUAAUCUAUAUUGAUUAUAUAUCAUGCGCGGCUAGGGGGCGGUACUUACCUACAAGGGAUGGGGCAUGGGAACAGCCUCGAGGUACUGUAUUAAAUAAAUAUGUUGCUCCAUGUUAUUACUUGAGCAGGAGUCUUCAUUCAAGAACUCCACACAACAUACAGAUGUUCUAUGUGGGCUAUAGAACAGCUCAUUACUGGUUUGAGGUUUGAAUAUCGCUGCAAAGAUAAGAUGCCUGGACAUCACAUAAGUGCUUCUUUCCUGUGGCACUCAUGAGCUCAUCCACCGAGUUUACAGGCAUUAUGACACCAGCUGUCACAGUGGGAAGGGAGAAGCCGUGUGUAGCUGACACUCAAUAAAUCACGAGC